AGUUGAGACUUCACUGGAUUUGAUAAUGUCAAGCUAUCAACUCCUACUUGAGUUAGUUAAGCGGUUCCCUCAGGCAUGGUCUCCGUUUUCAUUUGGUACAGAUGUCACAUCGAGUGAGAAACAAGAUGAUCAUAGUAAAAUUAGUGGAUCAAUUGAUGUUA